rnacentral:rRNA from 1 species
UACGAAGGGGGCUAGCGUUGUUCGGAAUCACUGGGCGUAAAGCGCAUGCAGGCGGAUUGUUAAGUCGGGGGUGAAAUCCCGAGGCUCAACCUCGGAACUGCCUUCGAUACUGGCAAUCUUGAGUCCGGGAGAGGUGAGUGGAACUGCGAGUGUAGAGGUGAAAUUCGUAGAUAUUCGCAAGAACACCAGUGGCGAAGGCGGCUCACUGGCCCGGUACUGACGCUGAGGUGCGAAAGCGUGGGGAGCGAACAGG